GACAGAGAUGGCAAGCGUUGUUCGGAUUUAUUGGGUGUAAAGGGUUCGUAGGCGGCUCGUUAAGUUACAUGUGAAAUCCUGCAGCUCAACUGCAGAACUGCAUGUGAUACUGGCGGGCUAGAGUCUUUAAGAGGAAGAUGGAAUUCUCGGUGUAAGGGUGAAAUCUGCAGAUAUCGAGAGGAACACCAAUGGCGAAGGCAAUCUUCUGGGAAAUGACUGACGCUGAGGAACGAAAGCCAGGGUAGCAAACGGG
rnacentral:rRNA from 1 species